GACAGAGGUCCCGAGCGUUAGGCGGAAUCACUGGGCUUAAAGCGUGUGUAGGCGGAUGCCUAAGUACCUUGUGAAAUCCCACGGCUCACCCGUGGAACUGCUUGGUAUACUGGGUGUCUUGAGCCACUUAGGGGCUACCGGAACAAAUGGUGGAGCGGUGAAAUGUGUAGAUAUCAUUUGGAACGCCAAUGGUGAAAACAGGUAGCUGGGAGUGUGCUGACGCUGAGACACGAAAGCCAGGGGAGCAAACGGG
rnacentral:rRNA from 1 species